UUAACACGUCCUUGUUAGGACGCUGGCGUGGAAACAGAGCUAAGGGGGUGGAGAUUACAACCCUGUUCUCCAGACAGAAUCUGAAGAUGGAGGGACCUAAGAAACUAAUCUGCACUUGGCCUUUGUGGAAAUCCCUAAAAUGACGGGAAGCUCACCACCUCAAAAAACCAAGUCAAAAUCCCCAAAGGCCGACCACUGGAG